rnacentral:rRNA from 1 species
AACGAACGCUGGCGGCAGGCCUAACACAUGCAAGUCGAGCGAGGACUUCGGUGCCAGCGGCGGACGGGUGAGUAACGCGUGGGAAUGUGCCCUUCUCUACGGAAUAGCCUCGGGAAACUGGGAGUAAUACCGUAUACGCCCUUAGGGGGAAAGAUUUAUCGGAGAAGGAUCAGCCCGCGUUGGAUUAGGUAGUUGGUGGGGUAAUGGCCUACCAAGCCUACGAUCCAUAGCUGGUUUGAGAGGAUGAUCAGCCACACUGGGACUGAGACACGGCCCAGACUCCUACGGGAGGCAGCAGUGGGGAAUCUUAGACAAUGGGGCAACCCUGAUCUAGCCAUGCCGCGUGAGUGAUGAAGGCCUUAGGGUUGUAAAGCUCUUUCAGCUGGGAAGAUAAUGACGGUACCAGCAGAAGAAGCCCCGGCUAACUCCGUGCCAGCAGCCGCCGUAAUAC